rnacentral:rRNA from 1 species
UAGUCCACGCCGUAAACGAUGGUCACUAGUUGUUGGGGCUUUAUGCCUCAGUGAUUAAGCGAAAGUGAUAAGUGACCCACCUGGGGAGUACGAUCGCAAGAUUGAAACUCAAAGGAAUUGACGGGGGCCCGCACAAGCGGUGGAGCAUGUGGUUUAAUUCGAUGAUACGCGAGGAACCUUACCAGGGCUUAAAUGUAAGUUGCAUAGACCAGAGAUGGUCUUUUCUUCGGACUACUUACAAGGUGCUGCAUGGUUGUCGUCAGCUCGUGCCGUGAGGUGUCAGGUUAAGUCCUAUAACGAGCGCAACCCCUACCGUUAGUUGCCAGCAAGUAAAGUUGGGGACUCUAGCGGGACUGCCGGUGCAAACCGAGAGGAAGGUGGGGAUGACGUCAAAUCAUCACGGCCCUUACGUCCUGGGCUACACACGUGCUACAAUGAAAACUACAACAAGUAACUAAAAUAUAAUUUUCGUUAAUCUUAUAAAAGUUUUCUCAGUUCGGAUUGUAAUCUGCAACUCGAUUACAUAAAGUUGGAAU